rnacentral:rRNA from 1 species
CAGGUUUACCUGUGUGACUGCGUACCUUUUGUAUAAUGGGUCAGCGACUUAUAUUCUGUAGCAAGGUUAACCGUAUAGGGGAGCCGUAGGGAAACCGAGUCUUAACCGGGCGUUAAGUUGCAGGGUAUAGACCCGAAACCCGGUGAUCUAGCCAUGGGCAGGUUGAAGGUUGGGUAACACUAACUGGAGGACCGAACCGACUAAUGUUGAAAAAUUAGCGGAUGACCUGUGGCUGGGGGUGAAAGGCCAAUCAAACCGGGAGAUAGCUGGUUCUCCCCGAAAGCUAUUUAGGUAGCGCCUCGUGAAUUCAUCUCCGGGGGUAGAGCACUGUUUCGGCUAGGGGGCCAUCCCGGCUUACCAACCCGAUGCAAACUGCGAAUACCGGAGAAUGUUAUCACGGGAGACACACGGCGGGUGCUAACGUCCGUCGUGAAGAGGGAAACAACCCAGACCGCCAGCUAAGGUCCCAAAGUCAUGGUUAAGUGGGAAACGAUGUGGGAAGGCCCAGACAGCCAGGAUGUUGGCUUAGAAGCAGCCAUCAUUUAAAGAAAGCGUAAUAGCUCACUGGUCGAGUCGGCCUGCGCGGAAGAUGUAACGGGGCUAAACCAUGCACCGAAGCUGCGGCAGCGAACGUAUCACCCAAGACAACUUUACGGAGUUGACGAUUGACGGAGCGAAGCGACGUCAAAGCGUUCAUUAAAGUCGAGUUGGCUUAGGGAUACGUUCGUUGGGUAGGGGAGCGUUCUGUAAGCCUGUGAAGGUGGCCUGUGAGGGUUGCUGGAGGUAUCAGAAGUGCGAAUGCUGACAUAAGUAACGAUAAAGCGGGUGAAAAGCCCGCUCGCCGGAAGACCAAGGGUUCCUGUCCAACGUUAAUCGGGGCAGGGUGAGUCGACCCCUAAGGCGAGGCCGAAAGGCGUAGUCGAUGGGAAACGGGUUAAUAUUCCCGUACUUGGUGUUACUGCGAAGGGGGGACGGAGAAGGCUAUGUUGGCCGGGCGACGGUUGUCCCGGUUUAAGCGUGUAGGUGUGUGUUCCAGGUAAAUCCGGUUCACUUUAACACUGAGGCGUGACGACGAGGCACUACGGUGCUGAAGCAACAAAUGCCCUGCUUCCAGGAAAAGCCUCUAAGCAUCAGGUAACAUCAAAUCGUACCCCAAACCGACACAGGUGGUCAGGUAGAGAAUACCAAGGCGCUUGAGAGAACUCGGGUGAAGGAACUAGGCAAAAUGGUGCCGUAACUUCGGGAGAAGGCACGCUGACACGUAGGUGAAGUGAUUUACUCAUGGAGCUGAAGUCAGUCGAAGAUACCAGCUGGCUGCAACUGUUUAUUAAAAACACAGCACUGUGCAAACACGAAAGUGGACGUAUACGGUGUGACGCCUGCCCGGUGCCGGAAGGUUAAUUGAUGGGGUCAGCGCAAGCGAAGCUCCUGAUCGAAGCCCCGGUAAACGGCGGCCGUAACUAUAACGGUCCUAAGGUAGCGAAAUUCCUUGUCGGGUAAGUUCCGACCUGCACGAAUGGCGUAAUGAUGGCCAGGCUGUCUCCACCCGAGACUCAGUGAAAUUGAACUCGCUGUGAAGAUGCAGUGUACCCGCGGCAAGACGGAAAGACCCCGUGAACCUUUACUAUAGCUUGACACUGAACAUUGAGCCUUGAUGUGUAGGAUAGGUGGG